AAGUCCCGUAACGAGCGCAACCCUUAUCGCUAGUUGCCAUCAGGUCAAGCUGGGCACUCUAGAGAAACCGCCCCGGAUAACGGGGAGGAAGGUGGGGAUGACGUCAAGUCCUCAUGGCCUUUAUGUCCAGGGCUACACACGUGCUACAAUGGUCGGUACAAACCGUCGCAAACCCGCGAGGGGGAGCUAAUCGGAAAAAGCCGGCCUCAGUUCGGAUUGGAGUCUGCAACUCGACUCCAUGAAGCUGGAAUCGCUAGUAAUCGCAGAUCAGCACGCUGCGGUGAAUACGUUCCCGGGCCUUGUACACACCGCCCGU
rnacentral:rRNA from 1 species